rnacentral:misc_RNA from 1 species
GGAGGGGACGUAACCGACUCUUAAGUCCUGACAAGGAUAAGAGUUUAAAGAGUCGUUAAAAACAGUGGCCAUGCCAAUAAAACAAAGGGCAUAAUGGUGAAUACAAUGCAAGUAGAAAGCCAUUGCAAGUAAAGAGCAAAUGCUUGUUUAUUAACAAGUGCAAAGAACUCGAGGAUCACGCGUUCUUCUGCUUAUACGUUAUCCAAAAACCAAAGCGUUCAUGUUUAUGCAGAGUUAUGUUAUGCUUCUCAGUACACGACAACCUUAACGCAAAUCCAAUACUCACUCCUUUCUCCUACUAGUAUUAUUUUUAAUUAUCACCCAUUUAUCUUCUAUAGCUCAUCUCUCUGUUCUCCAAUAGAAAAAUGAAUGACCUCAACCCAUUGAUCUAAUUUUUCUCUCUCUCUCUC